CCUACGGGUGGCAACAGUGAGGAAUAUUGGUCAAUGGGCGCGAGCCUGAACCAGCCAAGUCGCGUGAAGGAUUACUGCCCUACGGGUUGUAAACUUCUUUUAUAAAGGAAUAAAGUGAGGCACGUGUGCCUUUUUGUAUGUACUUUAUGAAUAAGGAUCGGCUAACUCCGUGCCAGCAGCCGCGGUAAUACGGAGGAUCCGAGCGUUUUCCGGAUUUAUUGGGUUUAAAGGGAGCGUAGAGGGGUUGUUAAGUCAGUUGUGAAAGUUUGCGGCGCAACCGUAAAAUUGCAAUUGAUACUGGCAGUCUUGAGUACAGGUGAGGUAGGCGGAAUUCGUGGUGUAGCGGUGAAAUGCUGAGAUAUCACGAAGAACCCCGAUUGCGAAGGCAGCUUACGAAACUGCAACUGACAUUGAUGCUCGAAAGUGUGGGUAUCAAACAGGAUGAGAUACCCGGGUAGUC
rnacentral:rRNA from 1 species